UGCCAGACUCCUACGGGAGGCAGCAGUGGGGAAUAUUGGGCAAUGGGCGCAAGCCUGACCCAGCAACGCCGCGUGAACGAAGAAGGCUUUCGGGUUGUAAACUUCUUUUCUCAGGGACGAAUAGAUGACGGUACCUGAGGAAUAAGCCACGGCUAACUACGUGCCAGCAGCCGCGGUAAUACGGAGGAUGCGAGCGUUAUCCGGAUUUAUUGGGUUUAAAGGGUGCGUAGGCGGAAGGUUAAGUCAGCGGUCAAAUGUCGGUGCUCAACACCGGCCUGCCGUUGAAACUGGUCUUCUUGAGUGAGCGAGAAGUAUGCGGAAUGCGUGGUGUAGCGGUGAAAUGCAUAGAUAUCACGCAGAACUCCGAUUGCGAAGGCAGCAUACCGGCGCUCAACUGACGCUGAGGCACGAAGGCGUGGGGAUCGAACAGGAUUAGAUACCCGAGUA
rnacentral:rRNA from 1 species